AUACGUAGGGGGCGAGCGUUGUCCGGAAUGAUUGGGCGUAAAGGGCGCGUAGGCGGCGCGGUAAGUCUGGAGUGAAAGUCCUGCUUUCAAGGUGGGAAUUGCUUUGGAUACUGCCGCGCUUGAGUGCAGGAGAGGUUAUCGGAAUUCCCGGUGUAGCGGUGAAAUGCGUAGAGAUCGGGAGGAACACCAGUGGCGAAGGCGGGUAACUGGACUGCAACUGACGCUGAGGCGCGAAAGUGUGGGGAGCAAACAGGAUUAGAUACCCUGGUAGUCCACACUGUAAACGAUGAAUGCUAGGUGUAGGGGGUAUCGACCCCUUCUGUGCCGCAGUCAACACAAUAAGCAUUCCGCCUGGGGAGUACGGCCGCAAGGUUGAAACUCAAAGGAAUUGACGGGG
rnacentral:rRNA from 1 species